UGCCAGGCCCUGCGCAACGUUCAGGUUACAAACCCCGUCAGGUUCGGAAGAAAGCAGCGGUAGUGACUAUCGCGUGUGCCGCAGGUAGCCUGGUUUAU
rnacentral:SRP_RNA from 1 species